AGACACAGCUGGACACAGCCAGACACAGCCGGACACAGCCUGUUCCAGCCGAGCCCAGCUGGAUCCACCACAGAGCGUUGCUGAGCCAUGGCCAGGGCAGGGGCACCACGGAGAAACACAGGAAAAAGACAUGAUUCACUCAGAAGCUGAAACACAGAUGUCAGUCUGACAACGUCUGCAGACCCAGUUUUGGUCAGCUGUAACUGAGCACCUAUGUUUGGCUGAAAGGUCAGGCUGAUUGAUGAUGCAUGUCCUUGGCCAACUGGCAAGAGCAUCUUUUGUUCCUCACAGAACAAGCACAAUUAUUUCUACAAAGCACUCUGUAUUUACCAGGUUUUUACUGUACAAGUACAAACCAU